rnacentral:lncRNA from 10 species
UCUGAGCUUUGAAAAGCAGCAGCUGCCAUCUUUCCUCACUGCUGGGAGAAAAUUGGACUGAGAGGAGGAAAUCGAGAAUCAGAAGAGUUGGAGAAUUUGUCCAAGGUCAUACUCGAAAGACUAAAAUAUUUUGAAGGGCAAUGCCCAGAACAUAGCAGGCAUUGCUCAUCGCUAUGAAGAGCUUAUUCACACAGAGCCAUUUGUGAACUCUUUCCUUCGGAAAUGGUGACAGGCUGCCCCUCUGCAUCCAGAGCUAAUGCCAUAUGCCAAAGCUGAGAUGUACUUUCCUUUCAGACAAAAAGGUACAUUUCACACUGAGGACAGCUCAGCUUGGUAACCUGUGGCCAAGGAGCACCUGGGAGAGGGAACAGCUCAGGCUUUGAAGGCCUCCUGCCUGUGCUGUGCAUGCAAUCAGCUGACAGAGCUGGGGUAAUUCAGAUGUGGAGCUUACUCAGCAGCCUAAUGGCCUUUUUGGCCACUGAGCACCAACAACCACCCCUCCCCCAGCCCUGGUUCCCAAAAGCUUCCAGCUUAGAGAGAAAGGGAGCAGAAGUGCAGGGAGAUGGUUUGGUUCAAACUCCAAUUAGGAGGGAAGCUGAUCACACACACAUUCAAACUCCAAUUAGGAGAGAAACUGAUCUCACACACACACACUCAAUUAAGAGUCUGGCAGUUGCCAAAGGUUAAUAAUGGAACUUAUUGUAGAAUUAAGACAAAAUGGCUUUGUUAUUGAAUUCCAAAAUCUCAACCAGGGUUCUCUCUGAUUGAUAACUAUAAGCUCAUUUACAACACUGGCACACAAUGUAGGCUAGAGGUACAAAUCCAGGUCAGGACUGCUUGCUAGCCCACAUGACUUUGGGCAAGGUUCUUAGCCUGUUCACAUUUCCUCCUGUAAAAUGGGACUAAAAUGGUGCCUUCCUUAUAGUGUUGAUAAAGUUUAUUACUCUAUGAAAGAACUUAUUACAGGCCUAGCAUCUUGUAAGCACAUAAAAAGAACAUCAUGUAAAUAAUGACUAUUCACUAAUCCUGUUCCCAUUCCAUCAGUUAAUCCAAGGUUGAGAAGUUAGCCUGAAGUCAUCCAGCAGAUAAGAGCUAGAAGUCUUCUGUGGCCCUGCCAUUCCCAGGUUUCUGGAUGCUUUGCCCUUCAAAGGCUAAGUGAUGCCAUCACAGGAACUCUGUGAACUCUACUAUGUCAUUAGUUCAACAAAUAUUUAUCGAAGGUCUACUAUAUGUCAGGCGCUCUCUCAGCUGAGCAUACUAAAAGACAGUCAAGGUCACUGCAUUAGGGAACUUACGUUAUAGCGGGGAAAACUGGCAACAGAUAAACAACGAAAUUAAAAUAUACUUUUAGAUAGUGCUGGGAAGGAAAUGGAUGGCAUAUCCUAAGUAUGUGCAAUAUGGACCUUUGUUUUUUUAUUACUAAGAGGCUCAUAGCAUCUGUCCAGGGCAAAUGUGUAAAGCCUUGAUUUGACAGACCGGGCUCCGAAUUCUGGCUCUAAGUGACCUUGGUGUGAUGAGUCAAUCUUUCUGC